rnacentral:sRNA from 1 species
GUGACUGGCAAUUUUCCAUUUAUCCACAAGACAGGAAUAGCUGACGCAACAAUGCCUCAACCUUGCCCUGGAGGGAUCUCCUUUAAGAAUGAGAGGGGAGUUCGCUCCCUCUAGCACUUUCCCCU